ensembl:lncRNA
AAACUCUCUGAUGUCAACCUUUCUGACAUCAGUAUGUCCUUUGUGACCUCAAUAGUAUCAAUGGGAUCACAUCAGAGGGAGAAAGAAGCCAUGUGAAAUAACUCAUUAUGACCAGAAUGGAAGAAGAAAACACAAGAAGUUGUUCAAGGGAAAAAUAUUAGCUGACAGGAAGGAGAAGUGAUACUCUGAAAAUCUAUCAAGUUUUGACUAUGUUUAAGUCACCCUGUGAAACAGAUGUUGCUGUCAUCCUCAUGCUAUUGACAAGCGAAGCUCAGAGAGCAUUCCCUUUGGUAUCCUUGAGCCACCAUGCAAGAGAUCUGGCUAGCCUUUUGGGGUAGCCACUUGGACAGGUGUUGGUCUAACACUAUAGACAACAUCCCAGUUAAGCUUCCAGGUGAUACCAACCUCAGCUCCCAUCUUCAAUAACACAAAAGACUCCAAAAAGGCUAGCAGCAGAAGAAGCAUUUAGGUUGAAGGAUUAUGGCUGGUUUAUGUUCAAGUUCAAUAAUUCUCCCACCGUCUUCAUUCUAUCAAGUCAUCCAGUGAAUUCUUACUCAGGCAAACCAUGAGUGGGAGGCAGAGGAUCCUGGCCCCUCCUCCUUCAGGCUGGACUGCUCUGUCCUCACGGCCAGCUGAUCUGAGGGUAUCUGUGGAAUUCAAGAGGGGGCAGCAAGCUCGGGGUUGGGAAGCCUCAGGAUCAAGUCCAAGCUCUGAGAUUCUGAGAGGUUGCUUUACCCAGAGGGGCCUCAGGUUCCCACUCUGUCUGAUG